GAACGCACCUUGCACCCUCUGGUAUUCUGGAGGGUAUGCCUGUUUGAGUGUCAUUGUACUCUCACUCUCCCGAUACUUUUGGAUCGGGAGUGGUGGACUUGGGUGCUGCUGCUUAACUGUGGCUCGCCUCAAAUGAAGUAGAGCAACUCUCGGUUGGACAUAGUACGGCGUGAUAAGUAUCUUCGCCGGCGCCUCAUUCGAGGGUGGCCGAUCGGGAGCUCUGUGCUUCAAACCGUCUUCGGACAAUAUCUGACAACUUGACCUCAAAUCGAGUAGGACUACCCGCGGAACUUA
rnacentral:misc_RNA from 1 species